CUACGGGGGGCAGCAGGCGCGGAACCUUUACAAUGCACGCAAGUGUGAUAAGGGAACCCUCAGUGCUCAUGUUUUACAUGGGCUUUUGCCAAGCGUAAAUAGCUUGGCGAAUAAGUGGUGGGUAAGACUGGUGCCAGCCGCCGCGGUAACACCAGCGCCACGAGUGGCAACCACGUUUAUUGGGCCUAAAGCGUCCGUAGCCGGCUUGGUAAAUCUCUUGUGAAAUCGUCAGGCUUAACCUGACGGCGCGCUCGAGACACUGCCUCGCUUGAGACCGGGAGGAGUGAGAGGUAUUCCUGAGGGAGCGGUAAAAUGUGAUAAUCUCAGGAGGAUCACCUAUGGCGAAGGCAUCUCACCAGAACGGAUCUGACGGUCAGGGACGAAGGCUAGGGGAGCGAUCCGGAUUAGAUACCCUGGUAGUC
rnacentral:rRNA from 1 species